rnacentral:rRNA from 1 species
CCCUUAGAUGUUCUGGGCCGCACGCGCGCUACACUGAUACGUUCAACAAGUUCCUUGGCCGAAAGGUCUGGGUAAUCUUUGAAACCGUAUCGUGAUGGGGAUAGAACAUUGCAAUUAUUGUUCUUCAACGAGGAAUGCCUAGUAAGCGCGAGUCAUCAACUCGCGUUGAUUACGUCCCUGCCCUUUGUACACACCGCCCGUCGCUCCUACCGAUUGAAUGGUCCGGUGAAGCGUUCGGACCGUGGCCUUUGGACGGUUCGCCGUCUGUUGGCUGCGGGAAGUUCGUUAAACCUUAUCAUUUAGAGGAAGGAGAAGUCGUAACA